UUAGUGGCGAACGGGUGAGUAACACGUGAGUAACCUGCCCUUGACUCUGGGAUAAGCCUGGGAAACUGGGUCUAAUACCGGAUACGACCAUCUGACGCAUGUCAUGGUGGUGGAAAGCUUUUGUGGUUUUGGAUGGACUCGCGGCCUAUCAGCUUGUUGGUGGGGUAAUGGCCUACCAAGGCGACGACGGGUAGCCGGCCUGAGAGGGUGACCGGCCACACUGGGACUGAGACACGGCCCAGACUCCUACGGGAGGCAGCAGUGGGGAAUAUUGCACAAUGGGCGCAAGCCUGAUGCAGCGACGCCGCGUGAGGGAUGACGGCCUUCGGGUUGUAAACCUCUUUCAGUAGGGAAGAAGCGAAAGUGACGGUACCUGCAGAAGAAGCGCCGGCUAACUACGUGCCAGCAGCCGCGGUAAUACGUAGGGCGCAAGCGUUAUCCGGAAUUAUUGGGCGUAAAGAGCUCGUAGGCGGUUUGUCGCGUCUGCUGUGAAAGACCGGGGCUCAACUCCGGUUCUGCAGUGGGUACGGGCAGACUAGAGUGCAGUAGGGGAGACUGGAAUUCCUGGUGUAGCGGUGAAAUGCGCAGAUAUCAGGAGGAACACCGAUGGCGAAGGCAGGUCUCUGGGCUGUAACUGACGCUGAGGAGCGAAAGCAUGGGGAGCGAACAGGAUUAGAUACCCUGGUAGUCCAUGCCGUAAACGUUGGGCACUAGGUGUGGGGGACAUUCCACGUUUUCCGCGCCGUAGCUAACGCAUUAAGUGCCCCGCCUGGGGAGUACGGCCGCAAGGCUAAAACUCAAAGGAAUUGACGGGGGCCCGCACAAGCGGCGGAGCAUGCGGAUUAAUUCGAUGCAACGCGAAGAACCUUACCAAGGCUUGACAUGAACCGGAAAGACCUGGAAACAGGUGCCCCGCUUGCGGUCGGUUUACAGGUGGUGCAUGGUUGUCGUCAGCUCGUGUCGUGAGAUGUUGGGUUAAGUCCCGCAACGAGCGCAACCCUCGUUCUAUGUUGCCAGCGCGUUAUGGCGGGGACUCAUAGGAGACUGCCGGGGUCAACUCGGAGGAAGGUGGGGACGACGUCAAAUCAUCAUGCCCCUUAUGUCUUGGGCUUCACGCAUGCUACAAUGGCCGGUACAAAGGGUUGCGAUACUGUGAGGUGGAGCUAAUCCCAAAAAGCCGGUCUCAGUUCGGAUUGGGGUCUGCAACUCGACCCCAUGAAGUCGGAGUCGCUAGUAAUCGCAGAUCAGCAACGCUGCGGUGAAUACGUUCCCGGGCCUUGUACACACCGCCCGUCAAGUCACGAAAGUUGGUAACAC
rnacentral:rRNA from 1 species